CUCCCAAACCCCUGUGAACAUACCUAUUUGUUCGCCUCGGCGGUGCCUGUUCCGACAGCCCGCCAGAGGACCCCAAACCCUGAUUACAUUUAAGAAGUCUUCUGAGUAAACCGAUUAAAUAAAUCAAAACUUUCAACAACGGAUCUCUUGGUUCUGGCAUCUGAUGAAGAACGCAGCGAAAUGCGAUAAGUAAUGUGAAUUGCAGAAUUCAGUGAAUCAUCGAAUCUUUGAACGCACAUUGCGCCCGCUAGUAUUCUGGCGGGCAUGCCUGUCCGAGCGUCAUUUCAACCCUCAAGCCCCCGGGCUUGGUGUUGGGGAUCGGCGAGCCUACCGCGCCCGCCGUCCCCUAAAUCUAGUGGCGGUCUCGCUGUAGCUUCCUCUGCGUAGUAGCACACCUCGCACUGGGAAACAGCGCGGCCACGCCGUUAAACCCCCAACUUCUGAACGUUUGACCUCGGAUCAGGUAGGAAUACCCGCUGA
rnacentral:rRNA from 1 species